UCGCUUUAAUUGUUUCUAUCAGUCUUGUUGUCCGUUGCACUCCCAUUUCUACCUCCCCCAAGAAAUGAGUAAUACUUUCCGUGUUUUCAGCAGGUUUACAAAAGAGAGCUUUUUGUGCAGCCCGUCUGCAGGUGCAGCAAAGACCUUGGCAUGGGGCAAACCGAUUAUCACUUAUGAAAACAGUUAUACUCUAUUGUUCAUACUUCUUCAAGGUCUUGAGCAAAGCAUAAAUUCUCAUGAAAACGAACUUAACUUCAGUCCAAGCAUCAGACAGCUACACUGGUUUACUCUUGCCACAAGUGGAAUUGAUCUUGAUCUGGCUCGUUGUUCCUUUUUCCUAUGCUUAUAUUUCUUUGGUAAUUACAUCUAAAGUGAUAUAAGGCAUGGGAAAAUGGGGCAGCUGAGGUACUUCGCCAUCUGUUCCAAAAGGCAUCACCAAGGCGACCCUAGGAAUGCACAGAGAAAAACGAGGUAUCUUGGAAGCAGAAGGGUGAAAGGUCUCUUGCCUUUCUUCAAUCAGCAGAAAAAUAGUGGUUAAAUGCAUUUGUAACCUUUCUGUCCAAUUACUUUUAUUUUCUCUAAAUAGCAAUAUGUUACAUCCAUUUGGGAGGGCUGUGGGGCUAUGGAAUAUUACUAUUACAAAACAGUGUAACUGUAUAUAUCACAUGUCGAAUGAAAAUCUCAUCUUUCAGCCACGGAUCAGAAGUUUGCCUUAUGCUGCGUUAUAAAUUCUAACAAGUCUUAUAAAACUAUGUGUCUAGAAAAAGCAAAACUAGGUGGAUUACAAAGUCAUUUUACUCAACAGUUAUUGUCAUGCCAUCCUAUUAAGCCUAGAUUAAUAUUUUAGAAGUUAUUGUUUCAUUUAUCUGUAACAUGUGUCAGAAGAUUUUUCUAUUUACAUGUAACUUUCUUGAAUUAAAAGGCAAUAAAAAUGUGUAUAUUCAAAUGUAUCUUUUUUUUCACUGGUUUCGUAUCAAGGCUUGUGGUAAAGGGAGUAGAAAUAUAGAAACAAUACAUUGCUUAAUUCACUUCUGAGAGGAUGGAAGGGGUCUUUUUAAAUAAAAGAAUAUUAAACCAAACAACUGCCAUUAAAAUCAAGAGGAACUUCUAGAACUACUGCACAUCAAGGUGGGAAAAGGGGAUACAAAACAAACAAAAAUGCAAACAAACAGGAGACAAACCUUCAUGUAGCUUCCAUUUUCUCCAAUUCCAGAAAUUUCACAUUCAAAUAAAAUAAACAAACUGCAACUGUAA